rnacentral:Y_RNA from 1 species
CGCUUGGUGAUGUGAGCCGGACGUCGAUCGGUUACCACUUCUAAUGGAAUGGUCGCGGGUUCGAAUCCCGCCCGCCCUACGCAGGGCGGUAGCUCAGCUGGCAGAGCAUUCCCGGUUGAUACCUCACACGCCCACAUCACCGAGCUC